rnacentral:rRNA from 1 species
GUCUACGGCCAUACCACUCUGGACACACCUGAUCUCAGAAGCUGAGCAGGGUCAGGCCUGUCUAGUACUUGGAUGGAAAACCACCUGGUAAUACCAGGUGUUGUAACAG